UCGAGCGACGGACGAGAAGCUUGCUUCUCUGAUGUUAGCGGCGGACGGGUGAGUAACACGUGGAUAACCUACCUAUAAGACUGGGAUAACUUCGGGAAACCGGAGCUAAUACCGGAUAAUAUUUUGAACCGCAUGGUUCAAAAGUGAAAGACGGUCUUGCUGUCACUUAUAGAUGGAUCCGCGCUGCAUUAGCUAGUUGGUAAGGUAACGGCUUACCAAGGCAACGAUGCAUAGCCGACCUGAGAGGGUGAUCGGCCACACUGGAACUGAGACACGGUCCAGACUCCUACGGGAGGCAGCAGUAGGGAAUCUUCCGCAAUGGGCGAAAGCCUGACGGAGCAACGCCGCGUGAGUGAUGAAGGUCUUCGGAUCGUAAAACUCUGUUAUUAGGGAAGAACAUAUGUGUAAGUAACUGUGCACAUCUUGACGGUACCUAAUCAGAAAGCCACGGCUAACUACGUGCCAGCAGCCGCGGUAAUACGUAGGUGGCAAGCGUUAUCCGGAAUUAUUGGGCGUAAAGCGCGCGUAGGCGGUUUUUUAAGUCUGAUGUGAAAGCCCACGGCUCAACCGUGGAGGGUCAUUGGAAACUGGAAAACUUGAGUGCAGAAGAGGAAAGUGGAAUUCCAUGUGUAGCGGUGAAAUGCGCAGAGAUAUGGAGGAACACCAGUGGCGAAGGCGACUUUCUGGUCUGUAACUGACGCUGAUGUGCGAAAGCGUGGGGAUCAAACAGGAUUAGAUACCCUGGUAGUCCACGCCGUAAACGAUGAGUGCUAAGUGUUAGGGGGUUUCCGCCCCUUAGUGCUGCAGCUAACGCAUUAAGCACUCCGCCUGGGGAGUACGACCGCAAGGUUGAAACUCAAAGGAAUUGACGGGGACCCGCACAAGCGGUGGAGCAUGUGGUUUAAUUCGAAGCAACGCGAAGAACCUUACCAAAUCUUGACAUCCUUUGACAACUCUAGAGAUAGAGCCUUCCCCUUCGGGGGACAAAGUGACAGGUGGUGCAUGGUUGUCGUCAGCUCGUGUCGUGAGAUGUUGGGUUAAGUCCCGCAACGAGCGCAACCCUUAAGCUUAGUUGCCAUCAUUAAGUUGGGCACUCUAAGUUGACUGCCGGUGACAAACCGGAGGAAGGUGGGGAUGACGUCAAAUCAUCAUGCCCCUUAUGAUUUGGGCUACACACGUGCUACAAUGGACAAUACAAAGGGCAGCGAAACCGCGAGGUCAAGCAAAUCCCAUAAAGUUGUUCUCAGUUCGGAUUGUAGUCUGCAACUCGACUACAUGAAGCUGGAAUCGCUAGUAAUCGUA
rnacentral:rRNA from 1 species